UACGAAGGGGGCUAGCGUUGCUCGGAAUUACUGGGCGUAAAGGGCGCGUAGGCGGCACUGUUAGUCAGGCGUGAAAGUCCUGGGCUCAACCUGGGAACUGCGCUUGAUACGGCAGAGCUAGAGGAUGGAAGAGGGUCGCGGAAUUCCCAGUGUAGAGGUGAAAUUCGUAGAUAUUGGGAAGAACACCGGUGGCGAAGGCGGCGACCUGGUCCAUUACUGACGCUGAGGCACGAAAGCGUGGGGAGCAAACAGG
rnacentral:rRNA from 1 species